rnacentral:rRNA from 1 species
GACGAACGCUGGCGGCGUGGAUUAGGCAUGCAAGUCGAACGGUGUCAUCCUUUCGGGGGUGAGAGAGUGGCGAACUGGUGAGUAACACGUAGGUUAUCUACCCUCAAGACGGGGACAACCCAGGGAAACUUGGGCUAAUACCGGAUGUGAGCAACUUUUAGUUGUUUGAAAGGUGGCGUAAGCUGUCGCUUGGGGAUGAGCCUGCGUCCUAUUAGUUAGUUGGUGAGGUAACGGCUCACCUAGGCAAUGAUAGGUAGGCGGCCUUAACGGGUGGUCGCCCACACUGGGAUUGAGAUACGGCCCAGACUCCUACGGGAGGCAGCAGUCGAGAAUAGUCUACAAUGGUCGGAAGACUGAUAGUGCGACGCCGCGUGAACGAUGAAUCCCUUCGGGGUGUAAAGUUCUUUUAUAUGUGAGCAGUGCUUCUUAUAUUAACAGUAUGGGGAGAGAGAUAUUAGCAUAUGAAUAAGCAACGGCUAACUCCGUGCCAGCAGCCGCGU